rnacentral:rRNA from 1 species
AUUGAACGCUGGCGGCAGGCCUAACACAUGCAAGUCGAACGAGUGGCGGACGGGUGAGUAAUGUCUGGGAAACUGCCUGAUGGAGGGGGAUAAUUACUGGAAACGGUAGCUAAUACCGCAUACCAUCGGAUGUCCCCAGAUGGGAUUAGCUAGUAGGUGGGGUAAAGGCUCACCUAGGGGACGAUCCCCAGAUGGUCUGCGAGGAUGACCAGCCACACGGGGACUGAGACACGGUCCAGACUCCUACGGGAGGCAGCAGUGGGGAAUAUUGCACAAUGGGAGAAAGCCUGAUGCAGCCAUGCCGCGUGUAUGAGGAAGGCCUUCGGGUUGUAAAGUACUUUCAGCGGGGAGGCGUUACCCGCAGAAGAAGCACCGGCUAACUCCGUGCCAGCCGCCGCGGUAAUUC